rnacentral:rRNA from 1 species
ACUCCAGUUGAUCCUGCUGGAGGGUACUGCUAUCAGAGUACGAUUAAGCCAUGCAAGUCAGUUCAGCCACCUGGCUGGACGGCGUACGGCUCAGUAACAUGUAGUCAAUCUGCCCUUUGGGCGGGGAUAUCCUCGGGAAACUGAGGUCAAUACCCGAUAGCCCAUCUAUGCUGGAAUGCUUGAUGGGUUAAAUGCGCAGCGAAUUGGAGCUGUGGCACCAAAGGAUGAGACUGCACCUGAUUACAAGCCGAUAAUCAGUAGGGGCAAUGGGAGUUGGAGCCCCGAGAAGGGCACUGAGACAAGGGCCCUAGUCCUACGGGAUGCAGCAGGCGCGAAACCUUUGCAAUGCGCGCAAGCGUGACAGGGGAACUCUGAGUGGUAGAGGGAUAUAUCUUUCUAUCUUUUGGCAACUGUAAACAGGUUGCAGAAUAAGAUCUGGGUAAGACCAGUGCCAGCCGCCAUAUGCCUAAUCGCAUAAGGUAAACGGUACGCGGUAAUACUGGCAGAUCGAGUGGUAUCCACGAAUAUUGGGUCUAAAGAGUCCGUAGCUGGUCUGUUAAGUCCGCUGUGAAAUCUUGAGGCUUGACCUCAAGGCGUGCAGUGGAUACUGGCAGGCUCGAGAGCGGGGGAGGUUGGGAGUACUCACGGGGUAGUGGUAAAAUACGUUGAUCCUGUGAGGACUACCAGUGGCGAAGGCGCCCAACCAAAACGCGUCUGACAGUGAGGGACGAAGGCUAGGAGAACGAAUCGGAUUAGAUACCCGAGUAGCCCUAGCAGUAAAUUAUGCGGACUGUGGUGUUGCGCCCGCUUCGAGCGGGUGCAGUGCUGUAGCGAAGGUGUUAAGUCCGCCACCUGGGGAGUACGGCCGCAAGGUUGAAACUUAAAGGAAAGAACAUAGGCGAUUUUCAGCACUGGCAAGUUACUCUCGUAACUUUUAUAAGCCAAAAAACCGAAGCUCAUUGCAUGAACCAGAAAAUAUGUUAUCUAUUGGGGGCAUUGCGCGAUGGGACGUUUGAUGUCCGGCAGGGAAAAAAUUAUGAACUGCGGAUUUACCAAGACGAUGGAAAAUGGCUGGAUUUUGUUUCAAAAAUAUUGGAGCAGAAUUUCGGCUUGAAACCACAUAAGAUUGGUAAAUUGCUCAGAUUGUCCAACAAGAAAGUUGUUGGGAAAAUACUGAAGAUAUCGGAAUAUGUGAAGCCGCAGAAAAUGUGGUUUACGCCAUCGUGUAUAAAAGGGAGUUCCCAAGAAAAAAUCUGGUGGUAUGUGAGCGGCUUCUGGGAUGCAGAAGGGGGAUUGCCAGAAAAUCCAACUAUGCAAACACAGAACUACGUUUCGUUUGACCAGAAAAAUAAGGAGUCUUUGGAAUUUGUGAGGAACUUUCUUAUUUCAGAUGGAUUCAGACCAACAAAUUUGACGUAUACCGGGAAUGUUUGGCAAUUUAGGCUGACUAGAAAAGAAAGCGUCAGGAAAUUUAUAGAGAGAAUUCAUUGUUUUCAUGGGGGAAAACUUGCUAGGCUGAAGAAAUUAUACGCCUGUGUUCCCUGAAUUGGCGGGGGAGCACCACAAGGGGUGGAUGCUGCGGUUCAAUUGGAUACAACGCCGGGAACAUUACCAGGGGCGACGGCAGGAUGAAGGUCAGACUGAAGAUCUUGCCUAACGAGCCGAGAGGUGCUGCAUGGCCAUCGUCAGCUCGUGGUGCGAACUGUCAGGUUAAGUCCUGUAACGAGCGAGACCCUCGCGCACUGUUGCGAAUUUCCCCUCCGGGGGAGAUGCACUCUGUGCGGACUGCCCGCGUUAAGUGGGAGGAAGAUGGGGGCGACGGUAGAUAUGCACCUUGGUCAGUAAAAUUAUAAACCUUGGUCCGUAAAAUUGAACAUGCCAAAAAGCCACCUUGAUUAGAAAUCGCUGAAGACGCUUUACGAGGAAUUCUCCAAAGAGAAGAGCCUAGUGGAUGCCGUGAUGAGAAAGCCAGAAUAUAUAACCAUAAUCCGGCUUUCAAACGGGCAAAGCCAGACAAGCUAUGAGAAUAGCAUUGGAAUGGCUAAAAACAUCUACAAAUACGAGACGGGAAAAAUAAGGCCGGCUGAAAAGACGGCAAGAAAAUUCCUGCUUGGUUUCAAAGGCAUUUCUUCCUGGGAGCAGAUUCUGGGGCGUUUUGUAAAAUUCUCUUCUGAGUCUAGGGGCUGGUUUGCUGCAAACAGCAGCAGCCAAAAAGCAAUGCGUGCAAGGAAGAAGGGCGCGCAAAGCUACAUGAAAAUAGGGAAGCCUACGACGCAGGAGAGCGAAAUUUCUGCAAUCAUUGCAAACCUAAAGCUUGAGUCCGAAAGGGACUUUCGUAUUGGGGGCGUGUUUGUGGAUUUUUACAUCCCUAAACUGAAGCUUGCUGUGGAAUGCAAACGGCUCACAACAAGAAACAGGAGGGAGCAGAUGAAAAAAGUCAAGGAGGCGGCGCUGCAAGGCUAUAAGGUCAAGUUCCACAACAGAAAUGUGAAGCUUGCGAUAGUUUUGGAAAGCCCGCUAGGGCUGAGCGCAACUGAACGGCAUGAAUUAUGCGGACCAUACGAUUUUGCAUGUGAAAGCAUGCGCCAAAUUGGCGAUAUUAUAAAUGACCAAGAUGUGUAACCGAAGUCAGUAUGGCCUGAAUCUCCUGGGCUACACGUGGCAUACAAUGGCAAAGACAAUGGGCGGCGACUCCGAAAGGAGAAGCUAAUCUCACAAACUUUGCCUCAGUUCGGAUUGAGGGUUGAAACUCACCCUCAUGAAGCUGGAAUCCCUAGUAAUCGCUUGUCAACAUCGAGCGGAUGAAGACAUACCUUAUAAACAAUAAAAAUGAAAUGCA